rnacentral:rRNA from 1 species
CCUACGGGUGGCAGCAGUGAGGAAUAUUGGUCAAUGGGCGCGAGCCUGAACCAGCCAAGUCGCGUGAGGGAUGACGGCCCUACGGGUUGUAAACCUCUUUUGCCGGGGAGCAACGGGCGCCACGUGUGGCGCCACUGAGAGUACCCGGAGAAAAAGCAUCGGCUAACUCCGUGCCAGCAGCCGCGGUAAUACGGAGGAUGCGAGCGUUAUCCGGAUUUAUUGGGUUUAAAGGGUGCGUAGGCGGAUUUUUAAGUCAGCGGUAAAAUGUCCGGGCUCAACCCGGGCCGGCCGUUGAAACUGGGGAUCUUGAGUGGGCGAGAAGUAUGCGGAAUGCGUGGUGUAGCGGUGAAAUGCAUAGAUAUCACGCAGAACUCCGAUUGCGAAGGCAGCUUACCAAGCUACUUCUGACGUUGAGGCACGAAAGCGUGGGGAGCAAACAGGAUUAGAUACCCGAGUAGUC